UAGGGAAUCUUCGGCAAUGGGGGGAACCCUGAUGCAGCGACGCCGCGUGAACGAAGAAGGUAUUCGUAUCGUAAAGUUCUGUCCUAUGGGAAGAUAAUGACAGUACCAUAGAAGAAAGCUCCGGCUAAAUACGUGCCAGCAGCCGCGGUAAUACGUAUGGAGCGAGCGUUGUCCGGAAUUAUUGGGCGUAAAGGGUACGCAGGCGGUUUAAUAAGUCGAAUGUUAAAGAUCGGGCUCAACCCCGUAAAGCAUUGGAAACUGAUAAACUUGAGUAGUGGAGAGGAAAGUGGAAUUCCUAGUGUAGUGGUGAAAUGCGUAGAUAUAUGGAGGAACACCGGUGGCGAAAGCGGCUCUCUGGUCUGUAACUGACGCUGAGGCUCGAAAGCGUGGGGAGCGAACAGG
rnacentral:rRNA from 1 species